GACGUAGGGUGCAAGCGUUGUCCGGAUUUAUUGGGCGUAAAGAGCUCGUAGGCGGCUUGUUGCGUCGACUGUGAAAACCCGCGGCUUAACCGCGGGCUUGCAGUUGAUACGGGCAGGCUAGAGUUCGGUAGGGGAGACUGGAAUUCCUGGUGUAGCGGUGAAAUGCGCAGAUAUCAGGAAGAACACCCGUGGCGAAGGCGGCUCUCUGGUACGUGACUGACGCUGAGACGCGAAAGCGUGGGGAGCAAACAGG
rnacentral:rRNA from 1 species